AAAGAGAUCUUCUUAUUAAUUUGGUUUAUUUUUCAGUUUGUUUUUUACCAAGCAAUCGAAAAAAGAACCCUCUACUAAUGUUUAACAACUACACGUACAAGAAACAGUGGGAAUGUACUUCGGGAAAAGUUAUCUGGUAUUGCUCUAAGCGGAAGAGAGGGUGUAAGGCGUACGUGCACAGUCGAGAGGGAAUUUUCACACCGGGCGAGCUCAUACACACACAUCCUGCUCCGCCUUACGUGAGAGGCAAUGAUGGGACAUGGGUGAAAUUGUAGAACAUUUGAGCACCAAAAAGUCAAUUACCAAUAGACAAGUUGUUGAUGAAUCGCUGAAAGUUAAUCCCAAAUAUUAUGAGUUAUUGCCUCAACCAUAUCAAGAAAAUAUGGAAAUGUGCUUCCAACGCUGACUGUACUGCCAAGGUCCAUAC